AGGAGGAACAACCACAGUGGCGGGGCCAGCUCUGGAGCCCUGGCGUCAGCUCCCGCAGUAACUACGGAGCUCUCCGUCUGCAGGGCCUGGAGGCUCCGGGGCGGA
rnacentral:pre_miRNA from 1 species